rnacentral:rRNA from 1 species
AGUCGACGAGAACGGGUUAUAGCUUGCUAUAAUUGUCAGCUAAGUGGCGCACGGGUGAGUAAUGUAUAGGUAAUAUGCCUCUUACUAAGGGAUAACAAAUGGAAACGUUUGCUAAUACCUUAUACUCCUUAUUAACAGAAGUUAAUAAGGGAAAGAUUUAUUGGUAAGAGAUUAGCCUGUAUUGUAUCAGUUAGUUGGUGGGGUAAUGGCUUACCAAGACUAUGACACAUAACUGGUUUGAGAGGAUGAUCAGUCACACUGGAACUGAGACACGGUCCAGACUCCUACGGGAGGCAGCAGUGGGGAAUAUUGCACAAUGGACGAAAGUCUGAUGCAGCAACGCCGCGUGGAGGAUGACACAUUUCGGUGCGUAAACUCCUUUUAUAUGAGAAGAUAAUGACGGUAUUAUAUGAAUAAGCACCGGCUAACUCCGUGCCAGCAGCCGCGGUAAUACGGGGGGUGCAAGCGUUACUCGGAAUCACUGGGCGUAAAGAGCAUGUAGGCGGAUUAAUAAGUUUGAAGUGAAAUCCUAUAGCUUAACUAUAGAACUGCUUUGAAAACUGUUAAUCUAGAAUGUGGGAGAGGUAGAUGGAAUUUCUGGUGUAGGGGUAAAAUCCGUAGAGAUCAGAAGGAAUACCGAUUGCGAAGGCGAUCUACUGGAAAUUAUUGACGCUGAGAUGCGAA